rnacentral:rRNA from 1 species
CCUACGGGAGGCAGCAGUGAGGAAUAUUGGUCAAUGGACGGAAGUCUGAACCAGCCAUGCCGCGUGCAGGAAGACUGCUCUAUGAGUUGUAAACUGCUUUUGUACGAGGGUAAACCUGUCCACGUGUAUUCAUCUGUAAGUACCGUAUGAAUAAGGAUCGGCUAACUCCGUGCCAGCAGCCGCGGUAAUACGGAGGAUCCAAGCGUUAUCCGGAUUUAUUGGGUUUAAAGGGUGCGUAGGUGGAUUGAUAAGUUAGUGGUGAAAGUUUGGGGCUCAACCGGGGAACUGCAGUUGAUACUGUUGAUCUAGAGAGCAGGAGAGGUAGGCGGAAUGUGUGGUGUAGCGGUGAAAUGCUUAGAGAUCAUGAAGAACACCGAUUGCGAAGGCAGCUUAC